AUCUAGCUGACGUUUCUCAAAUAGGACGAAACAUUCGUCCUGGAU
rnacentral:hammerhead_ribozyme from 1 species